GAAUACAUAGCUUAAUGAGGGGAACUCAGGGAACUGAAACAUCUAAGUACCUGAAGGAAGAGAAAGAAAUUCGAUUCCGUAAGUAGCGGCGAGCGAACGCGGAUUAGCCCAAACCAAUAAAGUUUUCUUUAUUGGGGUUGCGGACAUAUCAUAACGAAGAGGUAUCGUAAUUGAAGAGGUUUGGAAAGACCUACCACAGAAGGUAAUAGUCCUGUAUGUUAAACGAGAAGACUUUAGAUAUGAUCCAGAGUACCACGGGACACGUGAAACCCUGUGGGAAGCAGGAGGGACC
rnacentral:rRNA from 1 species